rnacentral:tRNA from 1 species
UCUUCCGUAGUAUAGUGGUUAGUAUAUGAGCUUGUCAUUUCCAAAUGCACAGAUCGCUCGGGACCCGGGUUCAAUUCCCGGCGGGAGAG